rnacentral:snRNA from 1 species
UUGCAUUACGUACCAAAAUACAUACGAGCUAAUCUUUUGCCUUUUACUAAAGAUUACCGUGGAGAGGAACAUUAAGCUCUUCAAUUAUUUGUUUAGAUCAUUUAUUUUUCAUGUUA